rnacentral:tRNA from 1 species
GCCCUCGUCGUCUAGCGGCAGGACAUCGGGUUUUCAGCCCGACAACCGGGGUUCGACCCCCCGCGAGGGUA